UUCGAUCCCGUCAUCCUCCACCAUUACCUUUUGGUUGCCAAACGCAAGCAUCGACGCUGUGUCGAUGGUGUUUGCGUUUGGCCUAGCCAAGACGAGCGUAAAAGUUCGGCUGUUCUUUAACAAUAUGGAAUGUAGUAAAGGUGUCGCGGUGCGUUGAUGAGACGCACAAUCAAAACGCGACACUGGGUUGUGAUUGUAUCAACCAGUAUUACCAGAGCAAUCGAAAGAUUGUC
rnacentral:misc_RNA from 1 species